GUUCCCGUAGUUGAAUUACAACGGUGGUUUUUCAAGUCAUUGGUUUCGGUUAAAAUCCGGGCGGGAAUU
rnacentral:tRNA from 1 species